rnacentral:rRNA from 1 species
UUCCCUAGUAACGGCGAGUGAAGAGGAAAGAGCUCAAAGUUGGAAACUGUUUGGCUUAGCUAAACCGUAUUGUAAACUGUAGAAACAUUUUCCUGGCACGCCGGAUUAAUAAGUCCUUUGGAACAAGGCAUCAUGGAGGGUGAGAAUCCCGUCUUUGAUCCGAGUAGUUGUCUUUUGUGAUAUGUUUUCAAAGAGUCAGGUUGUUUGGGAAUGCAGCCUAAAUUGGGUGGUAAAUCUCACCUAAAGCUAAAUAUUUGCGAGAGACCGAUAGCGAACAAGUACCGUGAGGGAAAGAUGAAAAGAACUUUGAAAAGAGAGUUAAACAGUAUGUGAAAUUGUUAAAAGGGAACCGUUUGGAGCCAGACUGGUUUGACUGUAAUCAACCUAGAAUUCGUUCUGGGUGCACUUGCAGUCUAUACCUGCCAACAACAGUUUGAUUUGGAGGAAAAAAUUAGUAGGAAUGUAGCCUCUCGAGGUGUUAUAGCCUACUAUCAUACUCUGGAUUGGACUGAGGAACGCAGCGAAUGCCAUUAGGCGAGAUUGCUGGGUGCUUUCGCUAAUAAAUGUUAGAAUUUCUGCUUCGGGUGGUGCUAAUGUUUAAAGGAGGAACACAUCUAGUAUAUUUUUUAUUCGCUUAGGUUGUUGGCUUAAUGACUCUAAAUGAC